CCAGCAGAGGUGGGCUGGACACUGCUCCUGGCAAAGCUGGCCGGGAAGAUGCAGCCCGUGGGACACUCCCCACCACCACUCUCACAGUCUGACUGACUGCGAAGCUUCACAGACCAGAAGGUUCAUUCCUCACAAGAAAAGGAAAACCCUGGUCUGAUACUACUGUUCUGAAAUUUAACAGCCAGUUGGGUCCAGCAGCUUUGCCUCUCUACCCUUUUAUCACCAAAGUAUACUGCUGAGAAAGAAUCAAAUGAAAAGAAAAAAGACUCAACAAGACCUCACUCAUAUUAACUGGACUCUACAAGCAGUGAGCAUCCAGACCUGCAUUUGGUUACAAAAGAAGCCUUCAAGCUAUUUUCAUCAGCU
rnacentral:lncRNA from 1 species